AGUGUGUGUGUGCAUUGCAGGUGUGACUGCUGUGUCACAUGUGCAUCGGUCAGUGGCAGAGAAGAGAGAGGCUACGUCUACACUCGGUGUUCUGACCUGUGAUCACCUGAAUGAUUAGCAGCCUAACACU